AUUGAACGCUGGCGGCAUGCCUUACACAUGCAAGUCGAACGGCAGCACGGGAGCAAUCCUGGUGGCGAGUGGCGAACGGGUGAGUAAAGUAUCGGAACGUGCCCAGUCGUGGGGGAUAACGUAGCGAAAGUUACGCUAAUACCGCAUACGAUCUAUGGAUGAAAGCGGGGGAUCGCAAGACCUCGCGCGAUUGGAGCGGCCGAUAUCAGAUUAGGUAGUUGGUGGGGUAAAGGCUCACCAAGCCGACGAUUUGUAGCUGGUCUGAGAGGACGACCAGCCACACUGGGACUGAGACACGGCCCAGACUCCUACGGGAGGCAGCAGUGGGGAAUUUUGGACAAUGGGCGAAAGCCUGAUCCAGCCAUGCCGCGUGCAGGAUGAAGGCCUUCGGGUUGUAAACUGCUUUUGUACGGAGCGAAAAGGUUUGGCCUAAUAAGCUGAGCUCAUGACGGUACCGUAAGAAUAAGCACCGGCUAACUACGUGCCAGCCGCCGCGGUAA
rnacentral:rRNA from 1 species